CAGUAGGGGGCUUUGCUGGUACAGCUACAGUGGCAAAGCCUUUGUAGUGUAGACUAGCCCAAAGAAGCAAGAAGUCUAACAGAAAGCCUCCAAGAAAUGCUGCAGAGGCUAAGUCCUCGUGGUUAAUUUAAGGCUGGAAAUCCUUCAUCUCAGGAGUAUAUUUGAUCCUGGAACUGUGUCAUGCAACUCUACAAACCAGUAGGCGACUAUGACAAUCUCUUCCAGCCAGCGAUGUGAAGGGUUUGCUGGGAAGAGGCUGAUGCUCGCCCAGCAGUACUUGCAUGCCGUUUGCAAUAGUGAUCCCAGAAAAUUCAACAAAACCUCAUGGGGAAUGAGAGCAGAGGCUGCUGAUAGAUUUAAAAGAAUCAGGAUGGAUGGACACCUGACUUUUGUCCAUCAUUUGAUCAACAGCCAG